UACGGGGGGAGCAAGCGUUGUUCGGAUUACUGGCGUAAAGGGCGCGUAGGCGGCCUGUGCAAGUCAGUUGUGAAAUCUCCGGGCUUAACUCGGAACGGUCAACUGAUACUGCUCGGCUAGAGUGCGGAAGGGCAACUGGAAUUCUUGGUGUAGCGGUGAAAUGCGUAGAUAUCAAGAGGAACACCUGCGGCGAAGGCGGGUUGCUGGGCCGACACUGACGCUGAUGCGCGAAAGCCAGGGAGCGAACGG
rnacentral:rRNA from 1 species